GACGAACGCUGGCGGCGUGCUCAACACAUGCAAGUCGAACGGAAAGGCCCUGCUUUUGUGGGUUGCUCCAUUGGCGAACGGGUGAUUAACACGUGAGUAACCUGCCCUUGACUUUGGUAUAACUUCAGGUAACUGGGGCUAAUACCGGAUAGGAGCUCCUCCUGCAUGGUCGGGGUCGGAAUGUUUCGGCGGUUUGGGAUGGACUCGCGGCUUAUCAGCUUUUUGGUGGGGUAGUGUCUUACCAAGGCUUUGAGGGGUUGCCGGCAUGCGCGUGUGACCGGCAACAUCAGGGCUGAGAUACGGCCCAGACUCCUACGGGAGGCAGCAGUGGGGAAUAUUGCACAAUGGGCGGAGGCCUGAUGCAGCAACGCCGCGUGCGGGAUAUCGGCCUGCGGGUUGUAAACCGCUUUCGCCUGUGACAAGGCGUGAGUGACGGUAAUUGGUAAAGAAGCACCGGCUAACUACGUG
rnacentral:rRNA from 1 species